rnacentral:rRNA from 1 species
UACGUAGGGAGCAAGCGUUGUCCGGAAUCAUUGGGCGUAAAGGGUGCGUAGGCGGCGCGGUAAGUCGGGUGUGAAAUCUCGGAGCUUAACUCCGAAACUGCAUUCGAUACUGCCGUGCUUGAGGACUGGAGAGGAGACUGGAAUUUACGGUGUAGCGGUGAAAUGCGUAGAUAUCGUAAGGAAGACCAGUGGCGAAGGCGGGUCUCUGGACAGUUCCUGACGCUGAGGCGCGAAAGCUAGGGGAGCAAACGGG